rnacentral:lncRNA from 10 species
GGUACCUUACCCAGGAGUGGAAAGACAGUAACCUAACUGCUCCCUACCAAUUUAGUUAGGGAUUCGUUCUAACUAUUAUUUGAAGUGCCUAGAAAUUAAUGUAACAUUUCCUGUGCUAAUUUGCAUUGCCUGCGGGCUGGAAGCGCCCCCUGUGAGGGCCACAGAGUUAGGUAGGGAGCUGUAUCCAGGGCAACUCCAUACAAACUUAACGCAGGAGCAGCCCUUGUAGAGUGGUGCUGACAUUGGGAUUAGGAUCUGUUCUAUGAGACCGUGACCAGCUGAUAAAUUGAAGUGGUAAUUUGGGAUUUAACCAAACAGAGCAGUAAAUGUAUCAGAAUGAUGAAAAUCCAAGACGAGAAAAGACUGGAGGAACCAUACAAGUUGAAGUAAGAAAAAGAAAAGAAUAAUUGUUUCAACAUUCAAAUUUCUUCAUGGCUUGUACAAUGCAAAAUUUUUCCAAGUUUAGGAAGUAUAUGAGAACUAGAGAUUAGAAAAUGGAUGUGAAGUCCCCAAACAUCUCUGCAUCAACUAACUCCAAAACCCAGCACAGGAAGAAGGUGAGAAGACCCUGAGUCUGGAGAGAUUGGACUACAAAGCAAAAUGAACUGUUAUACAGACUUAGGUGGAAAGUAUACUCUCCUACCAAAAAAACCAGUUGUUUUCCUAUUUCUUUCUGCACUUAAUCCUAUCUUCAAUGUGCCCUUUUAAUUGACUUUAACACAAAUAUUAUGAAUAUGAAUUACAAGACAAUAUUAAAGGAGCUUCAGAUGCAUCAGUGAAAAGAGGAAAAGACCCCUGCCUUAUGGAGCUGAGAUUCUAACAAGGAGAAACAACAAUAAAUAGAAUACACAAAAAAAAUCACGUAGCAUUUAAAAGGUGAUAGAUUCUUUGGAACAUGAAAUGUAGAGCAGAGUAACGGGAUGGGAGUGUAGGGGGUUGCAACCUGUAAUGCAGUGGUUAAGAUAGGGUUUACUUAGAGGUGACAUCUGAGCAAAGACUUGAAGGAGGUGAGGGCAUUAGUAACAUAGAUCUGUGGCGAAGACCUAGAACAAAGAACUAGAAACGCGCCUGGUGCUGUUGAGGGAC